GGCAAAUUCGGUAUUUUCUUUUUUAAGAGAAUUCCAGUUGAUCUUUGUGGUGUGGGGUGUUUUGGCAACGUUGUCAACUUGGCGAAGCUGAACUGUUUUCCAGAAUUCCCUUCCCUAUUCACUUCUGGUUAGGUAGGGGGUGGCCACAAGAGAAAUUUGCACAAGUUUGGAAGCAGACGGAAAGCCGUAGCCGUGCUUACUUGCUGAAGGUCGCCGGACGCCAUGCCCUGUUGCACCUCGUGCACGUUUUUGCAGACCCGCUGCACCUUUGGUGGGCGCAGCGGCCGGGCUCUCGGCUCCUCCGGCCCCCACAGAACUCUGCCUCAGGUUCUUCCAGAUCGGGGGUCAGGUAUGAAUCUAGCUUCUCCUUCAGGUCACCUGCAGCAGGAGGACGAAGGCUUAGAGGAGAGGCCAGCGCGGGUCCGGCCAGCAAGAGGCAGAUGCGGGUUCCCGAGAGUGGCUUGCAGGCUCCAGCUGUCCCGGUGCUCCCAGACUGCACUGCCGCCUUCUUUCCGGACCACCCGCCCAGGGACUUCAGGUGAACAAGCAGCAGCUGAACUGGGGCUCUCUUACCAGCAUCUGUAAUUCAGUGCUGCAGAUGCGGAAGAGUAAUAUUCAGAGAAAAGCACCUCGACAAAUUUUACUAGACCUAAAACAUUUCUGCCUCGCGUCCGAGGACAAAACCAGAUGGGAUAUAAAAGAAAACGCCAGUGAAGGCUUUGAGGGUAAAGAGUUGCUGUCGUCUGGCCCCAUAAGGUCCAGUGAAAACCCAAUCCACAAGGCAUAUCCCUGUCCUCACCUGUAAGCUUCGUCUAAGGACAUGUUCAUCCUCUUCAUGAUGUAGGCGAUGGCGAUGGUGGCUGAGCGAGAGACGCCAGCUAAGCAGUGUACCAGGACACAUCCGUUGCAGGCUUUUGCUUUCUCUGCAGGAGUCAAAUUCGAGAAGGGUCACCGUGAACAACUUUGUUCAACAGUGAGAUCUUGUUGCCAUUUGCUUACUUGCAUCUGAUAACUCAAAGUAAAUCUCCUGUAUUCAUAA